rnacentral:rRNA from 1 species
GAUGAACGCUGGCGGCGUGCCUAAUACAUGCAAGUCGAGCGAACAGACGAGGAGCUUGCUCCUCUGACGUUAGCGGCGGACGGGUGAGUAACACGUGGAUAACCUACCUAUAAGACUGGGAUAACUUCGGGAAACCGGAGCUAAUACCGGAUAAUAUAUUGAACCGCAUGGUUCAAUAGUGAAAGACGGUUUUGCUGUCACUUAUAGAUGGAUCCGCGCCGCAUUAGCUAGUUGGUAAGGUAACGGCUUACCAAGGCAACGAUGCGUAGCCGACCUGAGAGGCGGGUCGGCCACCUGGGAGCUGAGACACGGUCAAUACGCCUACGGGAGGCACCAGUAGGGAACCUGCCGCAAUAGUCGAAAGCCUGACGGAACAGCGCCGAGUGAGUGGUGAAGGUCUUCGGAGCGUGAUACUCUGUUAUUAGGGAUGAACAAAUGUGUAAGGAACUAUGCACGUCGUGACGGUACCUAAUCAGAAAGCAACGGCUAACUACGUG